AACAAAUGGGCACUUGACUUUUACUGGUAUAUACUUGCAGUGAGAGUUGGCUAUUUCCUCCCAUGAGAUACUUGCUGCCAGAAGGGUUCACGCUGCACGUUUAGUACUGGUCCGUGAUACAUUUCUCCUCUCGAAGUUUUGUCCGACUCAGCGACAACGUCAACAAAAGAUUAUCGAGAUAGUAAUAUAUCCGGCAGGGAAGCAAUGCAGAGCUCAGAUGAUAUCACCAUCAACAGCACAGCCUCUGUUAAGCGUCGAGGUUCAAAUAUGUUGAUACGAAACUGAGGAGAACUCAGGGCAAAUAUAGAAAGCAGAUGUGGAAAAAUCAAAGAAAUGACUUUUUAUAAAAGGUCAAAGCGAUUCUCUUAAUUCACCACCUCAAUGAUCAGAUUGUUGCAGUGUAACAGCGUUUUCCUACUGUAAAACAUUGCAGUAUCACAUUCACUGUUUAUCAUUUUCUAUUAUUCCUCCUCAA